GCCCCUGUGGCGGAAUGGUAGACGCGGCAGACUCAAAAUCUGUUGGUGGCAACACCGUGCUGGUUCGAGUCCGGCCAGGGGCACCA
rnacentral:tRNA from 1 species